UACGUAGGGGGCGAGCGUUGUCCGGAAUCAUUGGGCGUAAAGCGCGUGUAGGCGGCUCGAUAAGUCUGCUGUGAAAGUCCAGGGCUCAACCCUGGAAUGCCGGUGGAAACUGUCGGGCUAGAGUCCGGAAGAGGCGAGUGGAAUUCCUGGUGUAGCGGUGAAAUGCGCAGAUAUCAGGAGGAACACCAAUGGCGAAGGCAGCUCGCUGGGACGGUACUGACGCUGAGACGCGAAAGCGUGGGGAGCAAACAGG
rnacentral:rRNA from 1 species